CCCAGCUCCCCCAAACCGCCGCCCCCCCCAGCGACGCCCGGAAGAGGAAAUCAAACCCUAUUCCUCUUCCGACCGCGACUUUUUGCGGGAGGAGGAGGAGCCACCGUGGCCAUUCAAUUUAACGCCGGGCCGCCCGGGCGGUUCCCCGUUAAGGGGAACUUUACGCCCUUUUCUCCGUCGCGACCCUACAGACGGCCCUAUAAAUGCGGACCCCACUCAGACGAGACCCGAUGUGGGGCAGCAACGACGUGCCAGUUCGCUCGGCCGCAUCGGACGCUGAGAUCAAUGGGAACAAUGGGGGUUCGCUGCCCCAUAGCGUCUAUGGGGGGCACCCAUGGGUGCCCCUACCUGCCCCAUAGGGUCCCUAUCCCCACCCCACAGCUCCCAUGGGUGCCCCUCUCUACCCCACAGGGUCCCUAUCCCAGCCCCACAGCACCCAUGGGUGCCCAUUGCUGCCCCAUAGGUUGCCUCUCUCCACCCCACAGCACCCAUGGGUGCCCUUCUCUACCCCAUAGGGUCCCUAUUCCUGCCCCAUAGCCCCCAUGGGUGCCCAUUGCUGCCCCAUAGGGUCCCUCUCCCCACCUCACAGCACCCAUGGGUGCCCCUCCCUGCCCCAUAGCACCCAUGAGUGCCCCUUUCUACUCCACAGGGCCCCUAUAUUUCCACCCCACAGCCCCCAUGGGUCCCUAUCCCAGCCCCAUAGCACCCAUGGGUGCCCCUCUCUGCCCCAUAGCCCAAUUGGGGUCUUUCCCCUCCCUCCGCCCCCCCAAUUUUGGGAUCGUUUCAAUAAAUCUGAGAACCCUUUGCUUUC